AGAGUUUGAUCCUGGCUCAGGAUGAACGCUAGCGGCAGGCUUAAUACAUGCAAGUCGAGGGGCAGCACAGUAUAGCAAUAUAUGGGUGGCGACCGGCAAACGGGUGCGUAACACGUACGCAACUUACCCUUUACUGGGAGAUAGCCCAGGGAAACUUGGAUUAAUAUCCCAUAUUGCAGAGAAUCGGCAUCGGUUUUCUGCCAAAGUUCCGACGGUAAAGGAUGGGCGUGCGGUUGAUUAGGUAGUUGGCGGGGUAACGGCCCACCAAGCCUACGAUCAAUAGCUGAUGUGAGAGCAUGAUCAGCCACACGGGCACUGAGACACGGGCCCGACUCCUACGGGAGGCAGCAGUAAGGAAUAUUGGGCAAUGGACGCAAGUCUGACCCAGCCAUGCCGCGUGAAGGAUGAAGGCCCUCUGGGUUGUAAACUUCUUUUAUCUGGGGCGAAAGGCGGUUAUUCUUAGCCGUUUGACAGUACCAGAGGAAUAAGCACCGGCUAACUCCGUGCCAGCAGCCGCGGUAAUACGGAGGGUGCAAGCCGUAUCCGGAUUCACU
rnacentral:rRNA from 1 species